rnacentral:rRNA from 1 species
AGUGAACGCCGGCGGUAGGCCUAACACAUGCAAGUCGAACGGCAGCACAGUAAGAGCUUGCUCUUACGGGUGGCGAGUGGCGGACGGGUGAGGAAUACAUCGGAAUCUACUUUUUCGUGGGGGAUAACGUAGGGAAACUUACGCUAAUACCGCAUACGACCUACGGGUGAAAGCAGGGGAUCUUCGGACCUUGCGCGAUUGAAUGAGCCGAUGUCGGAUUAGCUAGUUGGCGGGGUAAAGGCCCACCAAGGCGACGAUCCGUAGCUGGUCUGAGAGGAUGAUCAGCCACACUGGAACUGAGACACGGUCCAGACUCCUACGGGAGGCAGCAGUGGGGAAUAUUGGACAAUGGGCGCAAGCCUGAUCCAGCCAUACCGCGUGGGUGAAGAAGGCCUUCGGGUUGUAAAGCCCUUUUGUUGGGAAAGAAAAGCAGCAGGUUAAUACCCCGCUGUUCUGACGGUACCCAAAGAAUAAGCACCGGCUAACUUCGU